UACGUAGGUGGCAAGCGUUAUCCGGAAUUAUUGGGCGUAAAGAGCGCGCAGGUGGUUAAUUAAGUCUGAUGUGAAAGCCCACGGCUUAACCGUGGAGGGUCAUUGGAAACUGGUUGACUUGAGUGUAGAAGAGGGAAGUGGAAUUCCAUGUGUAGCGGUGAAAUGCGUAGAGAUAUGGAGGAACACCAGUGGCGAAGGCGGUUUCCUGGUCUGCAACUGACACUGAGGCGCGAAAGCGUGGGGAGCAAACAGG
rnacentral:rRNA from 1 species